UCUCCGUUGGUGAACCAGCGGAGGGAUCAUUACAGAGUUUUCUAACUCCCAAACCCUUUGUGAACUUACUAUUUUGUUGCCUCGGCGGGCCUCUGAGAUUCGUCUCACGUCCGCCGGCGGUCCAUUAAACUCUGUUACUUUUAAGCAAUCUGAGUCUUUUAUAAAAUAAAGUCAAAACUUUCAACAACGGAUCUCUUGGUUCUGGCAUCGAUGAAGAACGCAGC
rnacentral:misc_RNA from 1 species